rnacentral:lncRNA from 1 species
CAUAAAAUAUAAAUGAAUUUUAUUUAUGAAUGUAUAGAUGUACAGCAAAUAGGAAAGAUAAUACAUUAAAAGAACAUAUACUAUAACCAGGUAGAGUUUUAUCUCAGGAAUUUAAGGAUGUUUUAAUAUUACAAAAACCCUUAUUAUAAUCAUAUUAGGCAAUUUAAGUGAUAAAAAUUUGAUUGUAUCAAAAGACACCAAUUCCUUUUAUCAAGCUUUUAGCUUCCAACAAACAAGAAUAGAAGAUGUUAUUUCUGUUAUCCUAACAAAGAACAUUUGUUUAAAACCAACAAUUAACUUCAUAUGUAAUGAAAAAAUAUCAAAAAAACUUAUUACAAUUUUAUGAAACACAAAAACAAAAUAGAAAUACCUAUGAUUUUAUAUUUAGAAAGAGCAAACAGGCCAUCUAAAACUGUUAGAACAAAGAAAAUCACCAAAAGAUACAUAUUUUAAAAGUUAAUAGCUUUCUAAUAAUAGAGAUUCCCAUGCUGACAGCAACAUAGAUAUAAAACAGCCAAGAAAGAAUUAAUUAAGGUAUAUAUAAAACCUAGACAAAAAGAAGAACCAAGUAUAAUGAAAAAAAUCAAGAAACAUGACAAUAAUGGAGACUAAAUCCCUCGAUGGAAAGAAUUAUAAUCAUAAAUGUAAGCCUUAAAGAGUUAACUUUAGAUGUAGACAAGUCAAACUGAAGCACUAAAAACAUGUUGACCUUAUAUAACACAUUCCUUAGGGGGAAAAAAAGAUUUUUUAAUAUUGGAAAAAAUAUGGUUAGGCAUAGUGGCUCAUGCCUGUAAUCCCAGCACAUUCAGAGGCCAAGGCGGGAGGACUGCUUGAGCUUAGGAGUUCAAGACCAGCCUGGGCAACAUAGUGAGACCUUGUCUCUACUAAAAACCUAAAAAGAUUAGCUGAGUAUGGUGGCAUGCACCUAUAGUCCCGGCUACUAGGGAAGCUGAGGCAAGAGGAUGGCUUGAGCCUGAGAAAUCAAGGCUGCAGGGAGCUGUAAUUGUGCCCUGCACUCCAGCCUGGGCAACAGAGUGAGACCCUGUCUCAAAAAAACGUCGGAGAAGGAGGAAAAACAAUGAAGACCAAUAUGCUACUGAUUCACAUGGAUUCAAAUACAAAGUAUAAUCCAUUAUAUGGCAAAAAAUAUGUCUUCACUACCAAGUGUUACAAUUACCAAGAAUAAAUAAUGUUUUGCUCAGAGCUAGUGAGUAAAAAAACACAGCAUUGCACACAGCAUUGCAACAUAAAGUAAGUGCUAUGUUAGGCCUGUAAGAAUGCUACAAGAGUCACCUCUUUUGGAGUCAAGAAAGGCCAACCUGGCGUUUUGAAGAAUCCAAUUUUGCUAGGUUGUGAGGUAGGAAGAAGGAAUGGCACUUAUAAAAGAGGGAACAUCAGUGAAAUCCACAAACGCUUAUUCUAUUAAAGAUUAAAACAGGGCUACCAUCACUGCAGUGGGAACAGGGCACCUUUUACCAAAAACUCCCAUAACAGAUGACUUGAAAACCACUGAGUUUAUGCAUCUGUAGGAUAUAUGCAGGAAGAUGAUGAGGGUUUGAAACAAGGCAGUAUGUACAGGGUGGAAAGAAAGGGGCAGAGAAGGAUAAAUAUUUGAAAGGUUUUUGAGGGGAAGAAACUCUCCAACACUGGGUAACCAAUUUGACAAAGGGAACAAGGAGAAAAAAAAGUAUAGGACAAUUUACAGCUUUUUGUCUAUGUCAUUAGGUAGAUAGUGGUGACAUUCAAAAAUAAGGAAAUAAAAGCAGGAACAAGACUAAAGGAAAAUUCAUAAUUCAAUUUAGAAUACAUUGAAUUUGUAGAGUCUACAGACAUGCGACUUGACAUCAAAAACCCCGAUAAAUUACCAAAGAAAACUCUUUUCCAACUAUAAUGCGAUAACUUUCUAACAGCUUAAUCAUGAGUGAAAAUCAGAGAAAGGCAUGGUUAUAUAAAAUAUUUUACAGAAUGAAUACCAACAAAACUAAGAUUAAAGUAGACUAUUAUAGAAUUGAAUAAAAUACUGCAACAAAGAUGACAGAGGACCAAUAACAUCACAUAUAAAAGCAUAAUGAUAAGAUAUAAAAACAGAACAUAAACAAGUAAAGGUCCAGCAAGUCUCUCAAUGUAAAGGAAAUGCAUUUAUACCCUACACUGUUUCCAUUAAAGAUUUAAGAUAGCUUACUACAAAAAUAUACAUAGUAAAAUGGUAAGUGUAAAUAAUAGUAAUAAUUAAAUGUAAAAAUUUUUUUAAUUAUCACCAGGAGAAAUCUGGACUAGAAAAAAAGAAACAAAAUAUGCAGAGCAUAAGGGCUUUCAGAAAUAUCGUUGACAAUGAAAGUAAAAAGCUCAACACAAGUGGCAUGACUCUUAUUAUCCAUUAGGAGAAAACACAGCCAUUUCUCACUUUAAAAAGGACAUUUUUGCUUUUUCCCUCAAUUGAAAAGAUAGCAUUUCAUGAUAAAAAUUUCUCUACAUUAAUUUAGCUUUAUGAAAACUUAUUACAUUGUCUCUGUUUCUCAAAUGUUAUGUUACUGCAGGACAGUUGAAUUUAAAAACAACAACAACACUUUACACAGUGACAUUUGAGGAUGACUACAAUAAACAGAACAAAAAAAUUAAUUGCAUAAAGCUGCUUCUUGUGGUACCCCUUGAUGAAAAUAAACCACAAAAUACUGAAAUGUAACUCAAUGAACACAGCUGGGUAGGUGGAGAGCAGGGAGGAAGGGAGAAGGGAGAAAGGGGAAAGGGAACAUGAAGUGGGUGAGGUAUACAGACUUCUGAUGGUCCAUCCUGAGCCACAGGAAGAAUGGAUACAAUUUAAAGGAGUGGAUAUACUGCUCAUCCUUCAAACUAUUGUGACUGGGCUUUGGUAAAAGCUCAGCAAGAAAUGAAGAGUAGACAGAGUCUCACACCUGUAAUCCCAGCAGUUUGGGAGGCCGAGGCAGGCAGAUCACCUGAGGUCAGGAGUUUGAGACCAGCCUGGCCAACAUGGUGAAACCCCGUCUCUACUAAAAAUACAUAAUUAACUGGGCGUGGUGGCUCAUGCCUGUAACCUCAGCUACUUGGGAGGCUGAGGCAGGAGAACCACUUGAACCCAGGAGGCGGAGGUUAUGGUGAGAUGAGAUCGCGCCAUUGCACUCCGGCCUGGGCAACAAGAGUGAAACUCUGUCUCCAAAAAAAAAAAAAAGAGUAGACAGAGUGAGGUAGAAGUCUCUGGAGAGAACCCAAAGGUUAUAUACUCUGUACUACUGGCUGAGGAUGGACCUACAAAAAUUGAAUAUCAUCCAAGCACAGUAUUGCUGAGGUCCUUUCAUGAAAAUUUGAGGCCUCGUUAAAGGCUGUCCCACAUCAGCAUAGAUGAGGGCCCCAUUAAUAAAAGGCCAAAUAUAAAAUGAAAAAAUAAGAACAAUCAGAAAGCAGACACCAGAAAACUAUUCACUCAUACAUAUAUUUUUAAAAAUGCAAAUGACAGUAUCCUUUAGCAUCUAUAAGCUAAGCAAAAG